rnacentral:lncRNA from 1 species
CCUUUCUUUUCCUUUCUUUUCUUUUUUUCCUUAUUGCAUGUUACAGUUAAAAGUAAGCAUAGCUACAGGUAGUUAGGACUAACUUCAAAAAGCCUUUUUGUUGUGGAGUGGCUCGGCACAGUGAGUAUCUGUGGCUGCUUGUAAUGCAACAAACUCUUCUUUCCAGAGCCCACAACAUUUAUAGGUCUUUCACCACUUACAGUGAUUUACUGCUCCAUUUGACCCAUCUUCCAAGGCUCUGCAGCUACAAGAAAACAUUUUUUUUCUCUUGGCAAUUUUACCUUCUCUCUUUUCCCAUCUUCUCUCUGGUUUGUUCCUGGGCACCUUUUACCAAGCUCUGUAUUUCGGUGGCGCUGCCUGUCCUGCCCUGUUCUCAGGGGCUCUGCUGGCAGGUCUGUCUCAAUGUCACCUGUAGUUGGGCUGUUGGGAGAAGCACUGUCUCCUGUCUGUGGUCUGUGGCAUGUGUCUGCUUCAUACAUCAGCCUAAGCUUUGAAAUGAGCCUGCAUAUGCAUUCCAGGAACAGCACAUUGUUCUAACUGGUAACAAAAAUACAUGACUAACGUGCUUCUGAUAGAGCCGCUUCCUCUUAACCUUAAAGUUGAUUUUUUGUUAAUGACUUCUUCCUCCCAUGGAAACGUGGAAAACAGUCUGGGACUGCAGGUUGUUAUUCAGUAAGAAAAACACAUGAUGAAGUUUGACAUUUCACAGGAAAAAGAUGUCUAAAGAUUUAUAUCAAUGGGUUUUAUUUACUGUUUUUCUGUUCUUGAUUUUUUUAAACCCCGAAAACAAAACUCAUGCAUUGCUAUAAAGGAGGUGGGCAAGUCUUUUUCAGCAGUGAGCAGUCUGUUGAGUCACAGUAACGUACGUUCUUUCCCCAUGCUUUUUUUCUUUAAAAGAAAGAAAUUGUUAAUCAUCUACAUGUAAAAAAUAUGGAAAAUAAACCAUUGUUUGAUCACCGUAUGUCAGAAUAAAAUUAAAAGCAGAGAGAAAACAUAACAUGAGGGCUUGACAUGGUUCGCUUUGUUCUGUUGUUCCCGUGCCCACGUGCCCAUGUUGUGUUCAUUUUUUAAAGCUAAAAAAUCAUAAAAUUCAUAGGAGAUGGGCAGCGUUUGUUCCUUAUUCAAAGCCCUUCUUCCACCACAAGGCCUCCGCUGCCUGCUAAACUUGCAGGAUAUGGAUUCUGGUCACAGGAAUGCAAACCAGUGAUUUACUCUGCUUUUUCUUCUUUUUGCCUGGGGUUUAACCAGUACAUUAGACUAAUAUUUUCUUGCUUGCUAGUGGCAGUUUCUGUUUCUUUUUUUCUUUCUUUCUUUUUUUUUUUUUUUUUUUGGUAGUGGAAGUCAUUAGAGUUUCUCCCAAGAGAAUCACUGCCAAAGUAAACAAACAUCUUCAUGAAAGGAAAAUAAUGUCUGAGGAGCAUUCAGAAUUCCAUGUUUUACAGAAGAGUAUUUAUGGCAACCAACUAGUGAAUUAAAGUGAAAGAAAUCCCAUUACUAGUUUGCUGCUUCUGCUGUGCUAAUCGAAAGUGGCAAUUUCUGCUUGCUUCUCUGCGCUACAGUGCAGGGUCUCAGUAUAAGCUGUAAUUUAAAAUGAAGGAAAUUAUGAGAUGAAACUCUUUUUAGAAGCAGUGUUAUGUUGGGUUUGCUUUUAUUUUUCUUAAUUGUUGGUAAUUGUAUAGAGCUUCUGCAUGUAAAACUCAGGGGAACUGCUAUUGUCUCCAAAAUGUUCUGCGUGUGGUUGGCAAGAACAACAAGCACAGAAGAAAGUUCAGCUAAAAAAUUCAUAAAAGCUGCCUGGUGGAAUGCAUUGCAAUCAGCUGUACACCUUGGUGCUCUUAUCCCUCUGAACUGAUCAUUUUUAGCUGAGAUGAAACAUUCUGAGGAGCAGGAGCCUGGCAGAUUUGCGGCGUAGAUUGUUUGAAGGUUUAAACACUGUGACUAUCUCAUCUUACUGCAAGUCUGUAGAUAGAACAUAAGCUCAAGUUGCUGAAAAGUGAUAGAAUGGCUCUGUGUGCACAGCCUACAAAACUGUGAAGGGCUUAUUUUCUGUGUGCUUUCUGCGUUCCCUCCAGGAGAGCAGUAAUUCCCCAGUGGAGCAAGCACACUUUGCAUUUGUUGAGGAUGAGACUGUCUCUAGUCCUUUGUUUGGGCAGCGGCUUUCACAAAGGGGACCAGUACUCACUGGGAACUUGCCAGCACCAUCAUAUGUUUCAUGACAAAUGCUAAGUGUUCAGAAAGUUGGCACUACAAAAUAGAGAUACUGUUAAUCUCUGUUUAAUUCUCAAAAUGGCUUGUAGGAUUUUAAAGCUUGUGUUGUUGCUGGUGCACUCACCCAUCAGAUAGCAUUUUUAACAGCCCUUCUAAUAUGGCCGGUUAAUUUGGUUAUAUUACUAGGAUGUAAAACAAAAUGAUUCCUAGGAUAGAGAUUGCUAGAUUGCUAAGAUUUUACUGCCGUUUUUUUCCUAUCUGCUGCGUGCUGAAGAACAGUGUGUCCAGCCACAUGUAUUGCUGUAGUCAGACCAUGGUAUUUUCUCAUCUUCUUUCCCAUGUACAGCUCAGACACAGCUGCCGCUAUUUACCAAACACAAAGGUGUUUUUCACAGCUCAGAGAGUAUGUUUGGGUUCUGCUGUAAGGAACGCGAGAUACAUCUCUAUUAAUUGCAUGAAUGUUCAGUGUAUGUUUAUGUACCUGGAUACUGUGGUGUUCUCUUUGGAAUUUUAGGGAGCGAGCUCAUAGAUCUUUGGAUACGUCUCCAGAGACAUGAUGAUUCCAGCGUCAGAAUAAUCUGCUCCAUAACGUGACCACAUUUAGGAGACCAGCUCCUGGGAGGAGACCCAAGGAGACAUCUUGAAAUUUCUGAGCAGAGAGGCUUUUGACACAGAGUUGGUGUACGCCGGAUGGCAUCCAGUUGGUAGCCUGCAUUGCUGGUGCAGCAGGAGGAAGCAAGCCUCUGACAAGAGCUAGAUAUGUCACCCUGCAGGACUGCACGGACAGCUUAAAUGGAGUGUAUGUUUGCACCUAAGCAGACUGUUAAGGCUAGAAUUGAAGAUGUACAGAUUGAAAUUAAGAAGAGUAUUAACUGUAUCAUUGAGACUAAUUAUGACUACAUAUUCAGUAACAGAAGUGAGGUCAACAGCUCCAAGAGUGACUAUCGCAAUAUCCAGCAGCCAUAGCACUGACAUUGAGACUGGCUGGGCCAUGAGGUCAUGCUUCUGGGAGGAUGAAGAGGAAGGCCUGGAUGCACUGAGGAAGAGAGUUGAACUCAACUUUGCUAUACAGCAGAUGAAUAUUCACCCUGGUGUAUAUAUAUAUAUAAAUCUAUUUAUUUAAAAGCAAGUAAGUUCAACUUCUGAACAGUGCAUGGUAACUGUUAGGGAAGCUCUCUUUUUUUCUCCCACCCAUCUUCAUCCUCCUUUUAAACAUUCCUAACUUUGGUCGGGACUCAGAAACAAGAGCUCUUGAGUUCUUCAUGCACUUUACAUCUCUGAUCUGAUGAUCAGUUGUAAAUCAGUUUUAGCUUUGUCAUUUUCUACCAUUCAUGCUGUUGUGAUGAUAACAAAAUCAUGGAAAACCAAUAUGCCUCUUUCACCAUGUACAUUUGGAUUACGAAAAACAUAUUCUUGUGGUUCUUUCUUAGGGUUCGUUUAUAAUAUUUUAAUUAUUAAAAAAUAAAGAAAAGAAAUCAAAGAAAAUCUCCUGCCAUGAAAUAUGUAAAAAGCUGAAUAACAUAGAAUAUUUAUGCUUAAGUAUUUUGGAAAUGCGUUAUCUUUACAAAAGAAUCAUUGAAACCUGGGAAAUGUAGUGAAAAUAUUGUACUUCAAUAAAAUAUAUUAAAAAAGAAAAUAUAUCAAGUCAUCCAGGAAACCUUAAUUUUCUGCUAUAAUGAGAACUUGAGGGAAAUGUGAAGUUAAAUUUAGUUUAUUUCUGUAGGCACUAAAUUUUUAACUAUUUCUGCAUAGUUUUACUAAGAAUUAGGAUUGUACGACCUAAUCAUUAACUCCUCAACCUGCAUAAUUUUAGAUUUUUUUGCAGGCUUAAUCCAACUCUGGGACUGGAAAUCAUAUCUUCUAACUGUACAGCUACAAGAUGAAGGGACUAGGAAAAAAGCAGGGGAAAAUCAGAACUAUUAUGUUCAUCUCUUAUACAGAGAACACAAAACCUACUGUAAUUAUGUCAUUUCCUCUCUCAUUAUGGUAUUGAGAGCCCAGAUCCAUUUUUAUGUAGUGGUACAAAACAGUUUGCUAUUUAAGUAUAGCUUACAGGAGCUACUUUGCAGAAUUGAUAUUCACAUACGCCACAAAUCAAUUGUUCCCACGAUAUUAAAAGGGAAAAUUAUCUCGAUCUUUAAAAAUUCCCAAACCUUGGUAAAUCUCCUUGAGUAAUUGUGAUAUAAUUUUGGGUCAAUGUGCUUUGACCAAAGGUCAGUCAAAAUGAAUAAUCCAGGGAACAUUUGUUUUCCUAUUGGUAAUCCUUUUUUUUGUGCAUGCUUAUGCAGUUUGUUGUAAGUGAAGAGCUCAUAAUAUUUAUACGUUAGGAAAUCAAAGGGCUUUUCUCUCUUCUUUAUCUUUUUUGUCUUUCUUUUUCUUUUUCUUUUUCUUUUUCUUUUUCUUUUUCUUUUUC